AGAGUUUGAUCAUGGCUCAGAACGAACGCUGGCGGCGUGGAUAAGACAUGCAAGUCGAACGAGACUUUUCGUUGUAGCAAUACGAUGGAAAGUUUAGUGGCGAACGGGUGCUUAACACGUGGGCAACCUGCCAUGAAGUGGGGGAUAGCUCGCCGAAAGGCGAAUUAAUACCGCAUGUGAUUAGAGAGGACAUCCUUUCGAAAUUAAAGUCGGGGCAACCUGACGCUUCUUGUGGGGCCCGCGGCCUAUCAGCUAGUUGGUGAGGUAACGGCUCACCAAGGCUUUGACGGGUAGCUGGUCUGAGAGGACGACCAGCCACACUGGGACUGAGACACGGCCCAGACACCUACGGGUGGCAGCAGUCGAGAAUUUUUGACAAUGGGGGAAACCCUGAUCGAGCGACGCCGCGUGGAGGAUGAAGGUCUUCGGAUUGUAAACUCCUGUCAUUGGGGAACAAGGUGCAUAUGUUAACUGCGUGUGUAUUGAUAGUACCCGAAGAGGAAGAGACGGCUAACUCUGUGCCAGCCGCCGCGGUAAUAC
rnacentral:rRNA from 1 species